rnacentral:rRNA from 1 species
CGCGUGAGUGAUGAAGGCUUUCGGGUCGUAAAGCUCUGUCAAGUGGGAAGAACCUGCUCGAUGCUAAUACCAUCUAGCACUGACGGUACCACUGAAGGAAGCACCGGCUAACUCCGUGCCAGCAGCCGCGGUAAUACGGGGGGUGCAAGCGUUAUUCGGAAUUAUUGGGCGUAAAGGGCGCGUAGGCGGUCUCUAAAGUCAGAUGUGAAAGCCCGGGGCUUAACCCCGGAAGUGCAUUUGAAACGUAGGGACUUGAGUAUGGGAGAGGGAAGUGGAAUUCCUGGUGUAGCGGUGAAAUGCGUAGAUAUCAGGAGGAACACCAGUGGCGAAGCGACUUCCUGGACCAAUACUGACGCUGAGGCGCGAAGCGUGGGGAGCAAACAGGAUUAGAUACCCUGGUAGUCCCGCAGUAAACGGUGAACACUAGGUGUAGCGGGUAUUGCCCCUGCUGUGCCG